rnacentral:rRNA from 1 species
UACGGGGGGGGCAAGCGUUGUUCGGAAUUACUGGGCGUAAAGCGCACGUAGGCGGAUAUUUAAGUCAGGGGUGAAAUCCCAGAGCUCAACUCUGGAACUGCCUUUGAUACUGGGUACCUUGAGUAUGGAAGAGGUGAGUGGAAUUCCGAGUGUAGAGGUGAAAUUCGUAGAUAUUCGGAGGAACACCAGUGGCGAAGGCGGCUCACUGGUCCAUUACUGACGCUGAGGUGCGAAAGCGUGGGGAGCAAACAGG